AAACAUUUGAUUAUUUAGAAAUCAAGUUUGGAAAUAAUUUUCUGCACUUUAGAAAACAUAAUAGACAUUUAGUAUCAAUACCAUAAAAUAUGGAUACCCCUUUUAAACUUAUCGAUACCUAUUAGGGUUUUAUGAUACUACACCGUGUUUUCUAAACAUAAAACAAAUUUUCCCCUAACUUUUUUCUCAUCCGUUUUUCAUUCCCAUAUUAUCAUUUUCAUCAAGGAUUACACAAGGUUUCUCAAGGAUUUCACCAUUUUAAAACACAUUUUGAGGAGAUUACCAAAUUUUUUGCCCGUAUUAUUGAAAAUCUUGUUUUAAUCUCUUGCUCACCAAGUCUUUGCCAAAAUUUCCCAACGAAAUUUCUUAGUAAAAUUAGUGUGUUCUAGAAUUCUAGAUUAAAUUAUGCCUCUUAAGAAAUGUCUUAGAUUCGAUGCCUCUUAUGCUAGUGCCCCUAGUGGGUGUAACUUGUCCUUUGGCGAAUGUUUUCGUUCUCUGGGAGAACGAGAACGUUUUGAUAGAAACUUCAUCACUCGUCUAGUUAAUACCUCUAGAACAUUAGAUGUUGAUUGCUUAUAAUCAUUUAAUUUUAGGUAUCUUCCCGUUUUACGUAAGUGACAAUUUCUUGAUUUCUUUAGAAUACGUUCUCCCGAAAACCUUGUCCGAGCCUUUUAUAGUAACCAAAUGGUCGAAUAUGAUGAGUCCGACGACACUGUUAUUGCCAUUAAUUCCUAUCUUUUAAAACAGAUAUUUACCUCACUCUAGAAGAUUUCAGAAAUUUUGUCAUUACCUCCCGGUUGUGUGUCUAAUGAAAAGGGUUCUUUUAAUCCCACCAAUUUUGGUCCAUCUAAUCUUGCUGUUAACUUAGAUAUGCAUGAUCAAUUAUUGCAUUUCAUUUAUCUCUUGGAUCUUUAAACCCAUAUCUAAGCAUAUAUCGUCAUUCGAAACAUCGAUUAUUGGUGGAUCGAUUGCUUUAAGUCAAACAGGUGUUCGGAUGUUGCUCUUCUCAUGUAUAACGACAUUACCAAAUCUAUUGGGAGAGACCUAGGUAGCUCUGUAACCUUACCAUCUGGGACCUGUCUUUUUUUUUUUUUUUUUUUUCUUGUUUGGGCAUCAAUACUUGUGUCAAUGCCCCUAUCUGAAGACAUCAACCUAUCGGUAUUGGGGCUCUUCAUCAUGCCAAGUACAAACAAAAUCCCUCUACUGGAGAAUGGGAGAAAGAAGGCCAAGCGGCGUGUCAUGAUGAUGAAGACCUUGGAGUUGAUCUUGAUGAUAUUCCACUUCCUGCCAAGAAGGCUCCUCCACCGGCAUCUUCAUCUGCUCAACCAUCUGCUCUGUCUCACUCUGACAACAUGUUUGUUGCCAUCCUUGGUGCUAUCACUUCCUUGAGUGAGGAGUUUAGAGGUUUUUGUACUUGCGUAGAUGAUGCUUUUGAUUGAGUAAAUAAUAAUGUUGGUAAUCUAGGCUCUAGGAUAAAGACUUUGGAGGAGCAAAUGGCUCAACUUCUUGCUCGCUUUCCUCCAUUGGAUCCUUCAUCAUCACCUAGGGAUGAUUAGUUUAGACCAUUCAUACGUUUGCAUCAUGCAUCUUUUUAAUUUGUUAAUGUACUCUUCUAUUGUCCUACUUUAAUUUGGGAUAUUAUCAUGUUUAUUCUUAAUGUUAGUUCUUUGUUUUCAUGUUUUUCAA